rnacentral:misc_RNA from 1 species
AUUUAAAGCAAUCAAGCUAUGGGAGGCCACGGAGGUUUGAACAUUCUUCCACAGAAGCGAUGGAACGUGUACAACUUCGAUAACCGUGAGAAAGUAAAGCGGGACGAGGAAGCCGCGGCUAAAGAGGAACAGCUCAAGCAGGAACAAUCUCGUAAGCGCGAUUCCGAGUAUCGGCUCGAGCAGCUCCGUCAAGCCCGUGGCUUAUCAUCAUCAGCAGCGCCGUCGUCUUCAUCGUCUAGUCACGUCAAAAAAUCGUCAUCAGAACAGAAAUCGCCGGAGGAGAAACCGGGAAAGAAGGAUUCUAACCACAUCAACUUGUUCGAAGGGAUUCGAAUCUUCGAUCCAGUUAAAGCAAAAGAUGAGGAGAAAGACGGAAGGGAUAAGAAGAGAGCGAAGAAAGAGCAACCGCCGAGAGUUAUUACUCCGGAGGAUGAGAAGUAUAGGUUAGGGUAUGGGAUUGUUGGUAAAGGAACGAAAUUGCCAUGGUAUUUGGAGAAACCGAAAGAGGAUUCCGGUGAAAAGAGUGACGAAGACAAUGAUUACUCCAGACCUGUGAAAAAGAGUAAUGGGAAAAAGACAGUGGAGGAAUUGCGACAAGAGAGGUUGGAGAGGGAGAGGAAGGAG